UUUCCCUCCAAACCCUUCUAACCAACUUUUAAAAUUCUAACUAAUUUCUAAACUCAAACAAACAAACUCCAUUCCAUAUUUUGCAUUAAAAUUAAUGUAAAACUAACACAUUUGCCUCAAACUUCUUCACUCUAACCAACACACAAACAUAACUAAUUCAACAAUGAUCCUCCACCCUUGAUAAACCCUAGCCUAGAAUCAC
rnacentral:lncRNA from 1 species